rnacentral:rRNA from 1 species
GCUAAUACCGCAUAAUGCCUUCGGGCCAAAGAGGGGGACCUUCGGGCCUCUCGCGUCAGGAUAUGCCCAGGUGGGAUUAGCUAGUUGGUAAGGUAAUGGCUUACCAAGGCGACGAUCCCUAGCUGGUCUGAGAGGAUGAUCAGCCACACUGGAACUGAGACACGGUCCAGACUCCUACGGGAGGCAGCAGUGGGGAAUAUUGCACAAUGGGCGCAAGCCUGAUGCAGCCAUGCCGCGUGUGUGAAGAAGGCCUUCGGGUUGUAAAGCACUUUCAGUCGUGAGGAAGGUAGUGUAGUUAAUAGCUGCAUUGCUUGACGUUAGCGACAGAAGAAGCACCGGCUAACUCCGUGCCAGCAGCCGCGGUAAUACGGAGGGUGCGAGCGUUAAUCGGAAUUACUGGGCGUAAAGCGCAUGCAGGUGGUUCGUUAAGUCAGAUGUGAAAGCCCGGGGCUCAACCUCGGAACUGCAUUUGAAACUGGCGGACUAGAGUACUGUAGAGGGGGGUAGAAUUUCAGGUGUAGCGGUGAAAUGCGUAGAGAUCUGAAGGAAUACCGGUGGCGAAGGCGGCCCCCUGGA